CCAAAGAUCUAAAAUGAGAGAAUAUGGGAACCUUGCUGCCAGCUGGGUUACAUAGUUACAUAGCUGAAAAGAAACUUGCGUCCAUCAAAUUCAGCCUACCUCACAUUUGUUUUUUGCUGUUGAUCCAAAAGAAGGCAAAAAAAACCCAGUUUGAAGCACAAUUUUGCAACAAGCUAGGAAAAAAAUUCCUUCUUGACCCCAGAAUGGCAGUCAGAUUUAUCCUUGGAUCAAGCAGUUAUUACCCUACAUUGAAAGAUUAUAUCCUUGAAUAUUCUAUUCUUGCAAGUAUGCAUCUAGUAGCCGUUUGAACAUCUGUAUGGACUCUGAUAAAACCACUUCUUCAGGCAGAGAAUUCCACAUCCUGAUUGUUCUUACAGUAAAAAAACCUUUCCUUUGCCUUAGACGAAAUCUUCUUUCUUCCAGUCUAAACGCAUGGCCUCGUGUCCUAUGUAAAGUCCGGUUUGUGAAUAGAUUUCCACACAAUGAUUUGUAUUGGCCCCGAAUAUAUUUGUAUAAUGUUAUCAUAUCCCCUCUCAGGCGACGUUUUUCUAAACUAAAUAGGUUUAAAUUUGUUAACCUUUCUUCAUAGCCGAUAUGUUCCAUUCCUUUUAUUAGUUUUGUAGCCCGCCUCUGCACUUUUUCUAGUGCCAUAAUAUCCUUCUUUAGAACAGGUGCCCAAAAUUGCACAGCAUAUUCAAUAUGGGGUCUUACCAGUGAUUUAUAAAGAGGCAAAAUUAUAUUCUUGUCCUGAGAAUGAAUGCCCUUUUUCAUGCAUGACAAUACCUUACUGGCCUUGGCCACUGCUGAUUGACAUUGCACAUUGUUGCAUAGUUUGUUGUCUAUAACAAUUCCCAAGUCCUUUUCAUGUGUUGUUAUCCCUAAUUCGCUUCCAUUAAGGGUAUACGUUGCUUGUGUAUUCUUUACGCCGAAGUGCAUAACUUUGCAUUUUUCAACAUUAAAUUUCAUCUGCCAUUUGAGUGCCCAGUCCCCCAGUCUAUCUAAAUCCCUCUGCAGCAAAGUAAUAUCUUGCUCACAUUGUAUUGUUUUACAAAGUUUGGUGUCAUCUGCAAACACUGAAACAUGACUUUCAAUGCAGUCUUCAAGAUCAUUUAUAAACAUGUUAAAUAGAAGGGGUCCCAGAACAGACCCCUGAGGGACACUACUUACCACCUCUGUCCAGCUUGAAAAUUUACCAUUAAUGACAACUCUUUGUACUCUGUUUUAAAGCCAAUGUUCUACCCAAGAACAAGCAUUUUCAUCUAGACCGAUUUCCUUGAUUUUGAAAACUAAUCUAUUGUAUGGAACUGUAUCAAAUGCCUUGGCAAAAUCCAAAUAGAUUACAUCCACAGCAACACCCUGAUCUAUACUUCUACUUACUUCUUCGUAGAACGCAAUCAAGUUAGUUUGACAUGACCUGUGCUUCAUAAAACCAUGCUGAUUUUUGCUGAUAACCAUGUUCUUCUCAAGGAAUUCUUGAAUAUUAUCCCUUAAUAACCUUUCAAAUAUAUUACCAGCCACAGAAGUUAAGCUCACAGGUCUAUAAUUUCCAGGCAAGGAUUUUGAACCCUUUUUGAAUAUAGGAACCACAUCUGCCUUCCUCCAAUCCUCCGGAACACUUCCUGAAAGAAAAGAAUCUUGAAAGAUUAAAAACAGAGGUUCACUUAUUUCUGCACUUAGUUCCUUAAGUACACGUGGAUGGAUACCGUCAGGCCCUGGAGCUUUGUUUAUAUUAACUUUCUUUAGUUGCUGCAGCACCUUGUCUUGAGUUAACCAAUUACAAUUAUUCUGCAAGUUUUUAGUAACAAUCAUUUGCACAUCUAUUGCCAUGGGUUCUUCCUUAAUAUAUACGGAGGAGAAAUAGUUAUUUAAAAUUCCUGCCUUUUCCUGGUCUUCAUUAACUAACACCCCCGUUUCAGUUUUUAGUGUACCUACACUUUCGUUUUGUUUUUAGAAUUUAUGUACUUAAAAAAUGCUUUGGGGUUGGUUUUGCUCUCUUCAGCUAUCAUUAUUUCAUUUUGAAGUUUAGCAAGUCUAAUUGCCUUUUUGCACACAUUAUUUGCAUCCUUAUAUCUUUUAUAAGAUGCAUCUGAUUUGUCCGAUUUAAAUGCUUUAAAUGCCCUUUUCUUAGUUGUAAUCUCUUGUUUUACUUCUCUACUAAGCCACAUUGGUUUUAAUUUGUUUAUUUUAUAUUUAUUUCCCAACGGUACAUACUGAGAAAUGUACCUUUUUAAUAUUUGUUGGAAGAUUAUCCAUUUAUCCUCAGUGUUCUUUUCACUAAAGAGUUUAUGCCAGUCAAUAUAUUGUAAAGCUUCCCUUAACUUAUUGAAAUUAGCCUUUUUAAAAUUAUAUGUUUUAGUAUUCCCCAUGUGCUUUUGUUUUUUUGAGUUUAUUUCAAAGGACACUAUAUUGUGAUCACUAUUUCCCAAGUGCUCACCUACUUGAAUGUUGGUCAAAAGAUCAACGUUGUUUGUUAAAACCAGGUCCAGACAAGCAUCCAUUCUAGUUGGUGCUUGUACAAGUUGUGACAUGAAGGUGUCAUUUAACAAGUUUAAAAACCUAAUUCCCUUUGCUGAGGCACUAGUCCCUCUGUCCCAAUUUAUAUCUGGGUAAUUAAAAUCUCCAAUAAUUAAAAUGUUACCCAGAUUUGCAGCUUUCUCAAUUUGCUCAAACAGCUGUUGUUCCUCGACAAUAUUAACAUUAGGUGGUUUAUAACAUAUCCCAACCAAUAGUUGGUUUCCCUUCUUUUCCCCCAAGCAGAUAUUUACCCAUAAAGCUUCCACAUUAUCCUCCUCGCAUUCCAUUUGCUUAAUAUUUGGCUUUAAAUCAUGGUUGACAUACAACAUACCCCACCACCCUUCUUGUUUUUCCUAUCCUUCCUAAAUAACAUGUACCCUUUUAAGUUAGCUGCCCAGUCAUGUGUCUCAUCCCACCAUGUUUCAGUUAUGCCUAUUAUAUCAUAUUGUUUAGUGUAUGCUAAUGCCUCUAGUUCCCCCAUUUUGUUAUUUAGGCUCUUUGCAUUAGUAAGCAUACAUUUAAUAUUAUGCGUCACUUGUAUAUUUUGUGAAUUUUCACCAUUACACAGCUUCUCUGUUCUGAGCUUGCCCCUCCCCCCGUUUCCACCCCCCUGUUCUGAGCUUGACCCUCCCCCCCACUACUGGUUUAAAAUCGCCUCCAACCUUCUAGCCAUCCUAUCCCCCAGCACUGCAGACCCUCUCCCGUUUAGGUGCAAUCCAUCACCACUAUAAAGGUUGUACCCAAUCGCAAAGUCGGCCCAGUGCUCUAAAAACCCAAAACCCUUCUUCCUGCACCAAGACUUAAGCCACGCAUUGACCUCCCUAAUCUCCCACUGCCUUUCCACUGUAGCGCUUGGCACAGGUAAUAUCUCAGAGAAUACCACCUUGGAGGUCCUUUUCUUAAGUUUGCUACCUAAUUCCCUGAAAUCAUUCUUUAGGACCUUCCAUCUUCCUCUUACUUUGUCAUUGGUACCAACAUGGACCAUGACCGCUGGGUCAUCCCCAGCCCCUCCCAAUAAUCCAUCCACUCUGUCAGCAACAUGCCGGACCCGAGCACCCGGGAGACAGCAAACUGUCCGGUUGAGCCGAUCAGAGCGGCAGAUUGCCCUAUCUGCUCUCCUAAUGAUAGAGUCCCCUACCACCACAACCUGUCUUGCCUUCCUUACAUUUUGAUCCCCACCCGUACUAGGGGGGCUGUUAGCUCGGCUGUUAGAAGUAACAGCUUCCUCUAAUACAGCUACUCCUGAGCUGAUGCUCCCAACAUCUUCCCUCAAACGGGCAAAUCUGCUAGGUUGCACCAAAUCAGGACUAGCUAGCCCUUUCCUCUUCCCUCCCCCCCUGCUUCCUCGCCCCACUGUCACCCAGCUACAUGCCUGUUCCCCAUCUGUCUUAUCUCCUCCCUCUCCACUACCUGUCCCCACUAAACUCUGCUCAGUGAGCAGUAGACUCCUCUCAAGAUUGUCAAUCUCCCUCAAAGUUGCGAUUUGCUUCUCGAGAUCUCCAAUCUCAGCUUCCAGAGAAGCCACUCGCACACAACCAUCACAGAGGUAUGGACACUGGACAAUUACCUUGUUAGUUUAAACUCCUUGUUAGUUUCAACUCCUGGUUUUCUAACUCCUACUUGAAAGAGUCUACUUAAUAGAGGCUGUUUUCAAAUAAUGUAAGCAAGCUCAGUGAGUUAGGGGUGUGCCUUUAUGGGGAUACAAAUCCCACACAGGUGCAAUUGAUGAACACUCCCCCAAUCAAUCAAGCAGCAGCACAAAAAAAGGGGGGGAAACCAGAACACAGAAAAAAAAAAGUAAAUUUAAAAAACAAAAAUUCAUUUUUUUUUUUCUAAACCUUACCAAUUUUAAAGAUUAAACAAAAAUAAAAUACAAACCACUCUCCACAGUAUACAAACCACUCCAAGUAACUCCUGGUUUUCUAACUCCUACUUGAAAGAGUCUAAUGAGUAAUUUACCUGAGGGCCAUGGGCGUCCGCAUUAGGGAGCACUUGCCUCCCCCCCUGGAGUUUUCAACAUGCCCCCUCCCCAAAGGCAAUUUGAAGAAGGAGGGGCAAGGGGCCGUUUUUAGGUUGCCAGAGGGAGCACUGUGAGGCUCCCUUCCAAAUCCCCAGCAAUUUGAUGCUCUGCCCCCGCAUUCAGGUCCUGCCUCUUGUACAGAUGCCUUGCCCAUUACAAGCUCCGCCCCCACACUCACGCCCUGGUAAGAAAAGGACAGACUUUGCCUCCCAGUGCUCCCACAGCCUUCUGUGAGAGGUACAUGAUAGUGAUUGUGUGUGUGUGCCUGAUAGUGAGUGAGCUUGUGUUUGUGUGGGCCUCAUAGUAAGUGAGCUUGUGUGUGUGUGUGUGUGCCUGAUAGUAAGUUAGCUUGUGUGUGUGUGUGUGCCUGAUAGUAAGUUAGCUUGUGUGUGUGUGUGUGCCUGAUAGUAAGUGAGCUUGUGUGUGUGUGUCUGAUAGUAAGUGAGCUUGUGUGUGUGUGUCUGAUAGUAAGUGAGCUUGUGUGUGUGUGU
rnacentral:lncRNA from 1 species